rnacentral:rRNA from 1 species
GACGAACGCUGGCGGCGUGCCUAAUACAUGCCAGUUGAGCGCUGAAGGUUGGUACUUGUACCAACUGGAUGAGCAGCGAACGGGUGAGUAACGCGUGGGGAAUCUGCCUUUGAGCGUGGGACAACAUUUGGAAACGAAUGCUAAUACCGCAUAAAAACUUUAAACACAAGUUUUAAGUUUGAAAGAUGCAAUUGCAUCACUCAAAGAUGAUCCCGCGUUGUAUUAGCUAGUUGGUGAGGUAAAGGCUCACCAAGGCGAUGAUACAUAGCCGACCUGAGAGGGUGAUCGGCCACAUUGGGACUGAGACACGGCCCAAACUCCUACGGGAGGCAGCAGUAGGGAAUCUUCGGCAAUGGACGAAAGUCUGACCGAGCAACGCCGCGUGAGUGAAGAAGGUUUUCGGAUCGUAAAACUCUGUUGGUAGAGAAGAACGUUGGUGAGAGUGGAAAGCUCAUCAAGUGACGGUAACUACCCAGAAAGGGACGGCUAACUACGUG